AUGUAUCUUUAUACAUUUUAAAAAAGAGGAUUUGAUGCCCAAUAAAAGACUAUGUAGCCGGAAGAGAGAUGGGCCUAUAAAACCGGGUGAAUUAUAAUCUGGGUAAUGAAAAGUGAUUGCCAAUGUGAUCACAAUUCUAUCGUGGGUAUCUUUUGAAAAAGAGAAGUGGUGUCCCAGCUCUCCAAGGGGCGAAAAUGGUACAGUUCAGAGAUAACGAAAUGAGAAGACUGAUGUGGGUCUCCAACAAAUUCUUCAACAGCCUAUUGCGUAGAUGAGAACGCUGGGCGAAAGCUUGGGUUUACAGACACCAUAUUAUGCCAGAUUCCCCUCAUUUCCUUCUCUGUUGGGUUAUUAUAUGGGUUGAUCAUGUAUUCACUUAUUUAUUCGUUCGCUCAUUCAUCGAACAGACAUGAAUUACGUAAAUGUUCCACGAACUACGCUCCGGGAAGUGUCUUGGCGAUGAAGACAGAAAUACAAGCUUCUCGUAGGAGAGAAAAGAACAAAUAUGUAUAGAGACUCUGCCGUGUUCCCGGCAAUGGCAGCCGUGGAAAAGUACUGCUUGGAUCGUCUGGUGUGAGGGGACCCAGCUGCUUCUCUUCCAGACUCACCACCACAUUCGCACCAAGGCCACUGUCCCCCAAGCUGCUUUCGAUCCAAUGACAGAGCACAGUAGAGAGGACCAGAUAGAAAGGGUCCCUGCCCCAUGUGAGAUGACUCUACCACGCUGUGGCAUUAACGCGACCAGAUUUCCCGCCCCUUCUAUUUCCGAACAACCUUCAUCAAACUGCUCCCUGGAAGGGCGAAGCCUCACAGUUGCAGGGAUGGAUGUGAGCUGAGACGAGUUUUAAGGGCUCAGCAAUCUGCUGACAGAGGAUGAAAGGAGGGAGUUGAGGACCAGUCAGAAGAAGUUCCACCCCCAACGGUGGCAUCCAUCUCCGUGCCCCCCUGCCCUCCCCACCUGCAGGGAGGCUAGCAAAUGGAGUUCUGUCAUCGGGCGCAUUGCUGGUAAGAAGGGAGGGUAGAUCUGAAGAGGCACCAGCAGUCCUGACACAGACUCGAAAGGAAGACUCUGCUCAAAUGCUGGACUGAAAGCAAAUGACCACUUUCUGCUCACCCAGCUUGGACUAGCUCCAUAUAAGACGAAGGCUGUUUGCCAGGGGGACCUUCUGUGCUGGCCCUCUGGGGUUGAAUAAAGGCCAAAUAUUCCCCACAUCUAUUCUGCCCGAGGUUCUGCAUACAGUUCGGAGAAAUCUUCCUUUUUGGUGAAUACAACCACCUCUGAAAACAUGACCACAAAGGCAUUCAGUCCCCAGAGACCCCCAAAGACCGAUGAGACGUGGAAACAGGAAAGGUAAUGUACGAAUUCAGAAAAAUCAUGCCCUGCUUGCUCCUGUAACUCAAGCAAACUACUUUCAUAAUUUAAAGCAACAAACCACACAAAACCCCGUAUGAAGAAUGCCUUCAGUGAAAAGGAGGGCGUGAGUCAAGAGACCUCAGGUUGGCUCUCGCUGGUUUGGAGAACGUGGCAAGAUGAUCGAAGGUCCCGUUUAAAUGGCGGUUGGAAAUAUGGAACUACGAUGUGGGGAUCGGGGUCCCAGAAAAUGGAUUUGAUGGCUCAUAGAGAAGAGGAGGAAGAGUAUAUAGAAAGAAGUGACAAAUUCCCAGAGGAUUCUGCUCACCCGCCCGGCUGUGUCUAAAAUAACCAGCACCAACCCCUUCCAAGUCAACCCAUGUCUUCAAGGACCAAUCAACAGAUAAUACUAAGUGCCCAUCCAUUUGAAAAGAGGGAUAAUCUGCGACUAAGAAACACGCAAUGAAGGUGAUCUAAAAUGAUAACUUUGGUAGAAAACGUGCUUAAAGAUGUGUGUCUAAAUAUGUCAGUAUUUACCAUAUAACUGAGGAGUGCUUUCUUCCCUCUGAAAUUAAAUUUUGCAAUUUAAGACAACUCACUCUGAUGAAAGGACCGUUUAUUCACUAAGGAAGUUAUUUCUGUGCAACGUUAAUCAUCUUAAGCUCAGGGUUUCUCCAGAGGGAUUAUUACCACUUUGUUACAGGAAAGAAACCACAUUACUAGACUAGUAUCCUCGCUAACACUGUAAGAUGGAAUUUAGAAAUAUGAUGGGCGUUAUGACUUCCCUGUGGGCGCCAUGAUCACACAUGGGCACCAUUAUCGCCGGUGGAAAAGACGGCAACUGCUUUGGGUGCAAUGGAAACGACACAUUAAUGAAACUGACCAGGCUGACGUGUUCUUGAGCGCUGAUGGAAUUCAAGGAAAAAGCCUUAUUUGUGAGCAGCUUAAAUAAUUGGAAGAUCCUGACUGACAUUCACCGCCGUGACGAUGACAGACUUAAUUCCAGAAUUUCACAUAACGGUGUAGCGUGUUGAGAAAAGUGAAUAAUCCUUACUCUUUUAGACACCCAGAUAUGCAUUAAGCAUUUUAAAUAAUGCUCUUAUACCUAAAACUAUUUGAGACUAUCAACUGGGGCUCGGCUCUGGCAAAAACUGUGCCAUUGGGA